rnacentral:pre_miRNA from 1 species
GAGGUACUCCCUCCGUCCGAAAAUACUUGUCAUCAAAAUGGAUAAAAAGGGAUGUAUCUAGAACUAAAAUACAUCUAGAUACAUCCCCUUUUAUUCAUUUUGAUGACAAGUAUUUCCGGACGGAGGGAGUAUCUA